AUGGCCUUCAGUGCCCCCAUACGCCCAGCCCCAAGGUGUCAGUCUUGGAUCAACCUGCCACCUGGAGAAAGCUUCCAAAUUCACCAAAUGUCCAAAGGAAAGGUGUGCUGUCUGGAGGAGAAGCCCAGGGACUGGGGCAAGCUGGCCCGAGCCUUGGGGAACUAUGCCACCGUCAUCUCCCACAACCCGGAGACCAAGAAGACCCGCGUGAAGCUGCCCUUGGGCUCAAAGAAGGUCAUUUCUUCAGCCAACAGAGCUGUGGUCAGUGUGGUGGCCGGAGGUGGCCGCAUCGACAAGCCCAUUCUGAAGGCUGGCUGUGCCUACCACAAGUACAAGGCAAAGAGGAAUUGCUGGCCACGUGUGCGGGGAGUGGCCUUGAACCCUGUGGAGCAUCCUUUUGGAGGUGGCAACCACCAGCACAUUGGCAAACCCUCCACUCUCCGCAGAGAUGCCCCUGCUGGCCACAAAGUGGGUCUUAUUGCUGCCCGCCGGACUGGGCGUCUCUGGGGAACCAAGACUGUGCAGGAUAAGGAGAACUAGGGUUGAGGGGCUCAAUAAAGUGUGUCCUUCUGCCAC